rnacentral:rRNA from 1 species
UACGGAGGGUGCAAGCGUUAUCCGGAUUUACUGGGUUUAAAGGGCGCGCAGGCGGAUUAGUAAGUCAGUGGUGAAAGCCUUGAGCUUAACUCGAGAACUGCCAUUGAUACUAUUAGUCUUGAAUGUUGUUGAGGUUUGCGGAAUGGGUCAUGUAGCGGUGAAAUGCAUAGAUAUGACCCGGAACACCUAUUGCGAAGGCAGCAGGCUAAACAAAUAUUGACGCUGAGGCUCGAAAGCGUGGGGAUCAAACAGG